rnacentral:misc_RNA from 1 species
GUAGGUGAACCUGCGGAAGGAUCAUUACAGUAGUCACCCGGGGCGCCGCAAGGCCUCCCGGGUAACCUACCACCCUUUGUUUAUUACACUUUGUUGCUUUGGCAGGCCUGCCCUCGGGCUGCUGGCUCCGGCCGGCGAGCGCUUGCCAGGGGACCUAAACUCUGUCUGUCUAUACUGUCUGAGUACUAUAUAAUAGUUAAAACUUUCAACAACGGAUCUCUUGGUUCUG